UACGUAGGGCGCAAGCGUUGUCCGGAAUUAUUGGGCGUAAAGAGCUCGUAGGUGGCUUGUUGCGUCUGCCGUGAAAGCCCGUGGCUUAACUACGGGUCUGCGGUGGAUACGGGCAGGCUAGAGGCUGGUAGGGGCAAGCGGAAUUCCUGGUGUAGCGGUGAAAUGCGCAGAUAUCAGGAGGAACACCGGUGGCGAAGGCGGCUUGCUGGGCCAGUUCUGACGCUGAGGAGCGAAAGCAUGGGGAGCGAACAGG
rnacentral:rRNA from 1 species